rnacentral:rRNA from 1 species
CCCUUAGAUGUUCUGGGCCGCACACGCGCUACACUGAAGGAGGCAGCGUGUACUCCUGGAUCGAAAGAUUUGGGUAACCCGCGAAUCUCCUUCGUGCUAGGGAUUGAGGUUUGCAAUUAUCCUUCAUGAACGAGGAAUUCCCAGUAAGUGCAAGUCAUAAGCUUGCGCAGACUACGUCCCUGCCCUUUGUACACACCGCCCGUCGCUACUACCGAUUGGAUGAUUUAGUGAGGACUUCGGACUGGGACCGAUGCGGCUUUCGGGCUGCGUCGGUAUUCUGGAAAGAUGUCCAAACUGUAUCAUUUAGAGGAAGUAAAAGUCGUAACA